CUCCAGACUCCUACGGGAGGCAGCAGUGAGGAAUAUUGGUCAAUGGCCGGAAGGCUGAACCAGCCAAGCCGCGUGAAGGACGAAGGUGCCAAGCAUUGUAAACUUCUUUUGUCAAGGGACAAAAUCAGGCUCGAGAGCCUGACCGAGGGUACUCGAAGAAAAAGCAUCGGCUAACUCCGUGCCAGCAGCCGCGGUAAUACGGAGGGUGCGAGCGUUAAUCGGAAUUACUGGGCGUAAAGCGCACGUAGGCGGUUGUGUAAGUCAGGGGUGAAAUCCCACGGCUCAACCGUGGAACUGCCCUUGAUACUGCAUGACUGGAAUCCGGGAGAGGGUGGCGGAAUUCCAGGUGUAGGAGUGAAAUCCGUAGAUAUCUGGAGGAACAUCAGUGGCGAAGGCGGCCACCUGGACCGGUAUUGACGCUGAGGUGCGAAAGCGUGGGGAGCAAACAGGAUUAGAUACCCGUGUAC
rnacentral:rRNA from 1 species